rnacentral:rRNA from 1 species
AUUGAACGCUGGCGGCAGGCCUAACACAUGCAAGUCGAGCGGCAGCGGGAAAGUAGCUUGCUACUUUUGCCGGCGAGCGGCGGACGGGCGAGUAAUGCCUGGGGAUCUGCCCAGUCGAGGGGGAUAACUACUGGAAACGGUAGCUAAUACCGCAUACGCCCUACGGGGGAAAGCAGGGGACCUCCGGGCCUUGCGCGAUUGGAUGAACCCAGGUGGGAUUAGCUAGUUGGUGAGGUAACGGCUCACCAAGGCGACGAUCCCUAGCUGGUCUGAGAGGAUGAUCAGCCACACUGGAACUGAGACACGGUCCAGACUCCUACGGGAGGCAGCAGUGGGGAGUAUUGCACAAUGGGGGAAACCCUGAUGCAGCCAUGCCGCGUGUGUGAAGAAGGCCUUCGGGUUGUAAAGCACUUUCAGCGAGGAGGAAAGGUUGGUAGCUAAUAACUGCCAGCUGUGACGUUACUCGCAGAAGAAGCACCGGCUAACUCCGUGCCAGCCGCCGCGGUAACAC